AUGUUCCCACGGUGUAGGAGCACAGCCUGUCUUUCUCAGGUAGACAUGGAAGUGUAUAGAAGACUCAGAAAUCCCAUUAAAUUUCAGAGUCUACUGCCAAUAAAUUUAAUAAGAAAUGGAAGCAAGGUUAUUUAUUUGUUUUACAGCAUUCUCAAGACUGCACAGAAGGAAACUCUUAGAAGAAUUCAGAUCGAUGGGAUCCUUCCUGUCCCUCAUGACAAAGAGGACACCCCAGGGAGUCCCUGUCUUGGCUGCUGAAAGCUAUAGCCCUGUUAGGAGCACCCGGCUGAUUGGAAUGACAUGCCCAGCUCCCCCCGGGGCUCAGAGAAUGCAUUAAUGUCACAGAAGAGAGGCAAGGACACUGGAGAAUGAAACUGUGGGUUGUUAUUUUGCCAUUGGACAGAUUUGCACCAACAGGCAGAAGACAGCAUCAAAAGUUGUAUUAUUCAUGCAAUUUUACAGUCAACCCAUUCUUUGUGAAUGCUUUUCUGUGAAGUUCUCAAUGCUUUAACCUUCCAGCCUUGCCUUACUUUCUUUCAAUGUUGAUCUGCUAUGGGAGGCGGUGAGGCUCACUCUCUAACACUGAAUUGUUGAGCAAAAUCAGUUCUGUCUCAGUGCUGUGAUUCCUGUACUAAAUGAAAAAGGAAUAGAAUGGGGGCUGGGGAAAGGGAAAUUUCACAUUUAUUGCCUGCCUACUGUGUGCCAGAUGCUAACCUAGGUGUUUAUAUAUUUAUCUUAUUUAAUUAACACUCUGCAAUUUAUGACACUGAGUGGCAAUGAGCAAGCUGGGGGUUGAACCAUGUAUCUAUGCCUCAAAAAUCCUUCUCUUUUUACCAGGACAGAAAAUAGGAGCCUUCUACUUGUGCCAUUCACUUUGUUUGUCUCUCGUGCUCCACCCUCCCCCCACCACCACAUUCUUUCACACAUUGACUUUGUGUUCAUCUUUUCCCAGUAAUUAGUAAAUUACAACCCCUGCAUCUCAAAUUCUUGACAUUCAUUUGCUGUUUCCCAGUAAUUCAUUCCAUUUGGUAUUUGCUUUGAAAACGACACAGAAGUGCUCGCUAAUGCGGCACGCACUCCCUUGCCUGGAUGAGGCUCUUCACCUCAUUUAUCACGUUGCGUUGCUGGUCCUGAAGGCUGACAGGCAAUUCAGGCUUUCUGAAUGCAAUUCAGGCAUUGAUGUUAAUCUAUAAAGCUUUGGCGUCUGGGUCCUGGCUACCAUGGAAAUGAAAUAGCUUCUUGGAUACUUUUCUACAUGCUGCUGCUACUGUUCUGAAAUGCGCGGCUUGGAGAGACAUUUGUGUGCUGCUUCUGAUGUGAAAAUGUCCAAGGUGAAUAGCUUCUGAACUUUAACCAUUGUUGUUGGCACGGAAGAGGAAGCCCGAACAAGGACACACGUGUGGAAUGCGCUUGCAUUCAUGGACCUACACACUGAAUUUAUUGAUAGUAUUGGGUGAAAAAUCCAUUUAAAAAUACAGACGAAGAGGUGACCAACACAUCUGGUUUCCAAACAGGAAAUCCCUCAGCCUGGACAGGACAGUGGGUGCCAGGAAGCCCAUGAGGAAGCAUGGUGUUUAGUCUCUCGGGUGUGACCUGAUGUUCUCUCAGUUGGGGAAGUUGGUGGCAGGAAAAUGAUUCCGAGGCACAUGCUUUGUCAAGGCGGGACAGGAAGAGUGGAAGUUUGAUGCCUACACUAAAAGUGUGCCCGCAGGCAGCGACCCCCCCCAUACAAACACUCCCAGGGGAAUAUGACAUCGCCUUUGUUCCAGUUGGCCACAGAGGCUGGGAAAGGCUGAGAAAGAUCGCAACCGUAAGGAAUUUAAAUGCCCUCCACCGGAGUUCUACUUUCAAUCUCUUCACUCGAAGUUUCUGGCUCUCUGCUUGACUGUUCACGUGGCCUUCAUUUUAAAACACAAUUCCUUGCUUCAGCUUUUUAAAUUCGGAUGGCAUUGGCAUUAGCAAAGAAAGUGACAAAGUCAUUGACAUGUUGACAUCUAUCCCUAAAGGGACAGAACUUUGAUAUUUUUUUUAAAAAUAAGAAUGUGUCCAACAGUCAGACACUUGAGUGAAAGUAGAAAUGAGAAAGGAUGAACCUGAGGUGCUUUUGAGUAACAAAUGACAGCUGAAUCCACUGUGGGGCUUUGGGUUUCCACAGAAGAUGG
ensembl:lncRNA